rnacentral:rRNA from 1 species
UGAGGAGAGAAUCCUAAGGUGAGCGAGAGAACUAUAGCUAAGGAACUCUGCAAAAUGACUCCGUAACUUAGGGAGAAGGAGUGCUCAUAGAGAUAUGAGCCGCAGUGAAACGGCCCAAGCGACUGUUUACCAAAAACACAGCUCUCUGCUAAGCCGCAAGGCGAAGUAUAGGGGGUGACGCCUGCCCGGUGCUGGAAGGUUAAGGGGAGGGGUUAACGCAAGUGAAGCCCUGAACUGAAGCCCCAGUAAACGGCGGCCGUAACUAUAACGGUCCUAAGGUAGCGAAAUUCCUUGUCAGGUAAGUUCUGACCCGCACGAAAGGCGUAACGAUUUGGGCGCUGUCUCAGCUGUAGACUCGGUGAAGUCUUAGUACCUGUGAAGAUGCAGGUUACCCGCGACUAGACGGAAAGACCCCAUGGAGCUUCACUGCAGGUUGAUAUUGGGAUUUGAUGCAGCAUGUACAGGAUAGGUAGGAGGCAAAGAGAUGGAUACGCCAGUAUUCAAGGAGCCGCUGUUGGGAUACUACCCCUGUUGUAUUGGAUUUCUAACCGGACGACGUAGAGCCGUUGACGGGACAGUGUCAGUCGGGCAGUUUGACUGGGGCGGUCGCCUCCCAAAGAGUAACGGAGGCGCCCAAAGAUACCCUCAGCUUGGAUGGAAACCAAGCGCAGAGGGGAAAGGCAAAAGGGUGUUUGACUGCGAGACCUACAAGUCGAGCAGGGACGAAAGUCGGGCUUAGUGAUCCGGCGGUGCUGAAUGGAAAGGCCGUCGCUCAACGGAUAAAAGCUACCCUGGGGAUAACAGGCUGAUCUCCCCCAAGAGUUCACAUCGACGGGGAGGUUUGGCACCUCGAUGUCGGCUCAUCGCAUCCUGGAGCUGAAGUCGGUUCCAAGGGUUGGGCUGUUCGCCCAUUAAAGCGGUACGCGAGCUGGGUUCAGAACGUCGUGAGACAGUUCGGUCCCUAUCUGUCGUGGGCGCAGGAAAUUUGAGAAGAGCUGUCCUCAGUACGAGAGGACCGGGAUGGACGCAUCAAUGGUGGACCAGUUGUCACGCCAGUGGCAUAGCUGGGUAGCUAAAUGCGGAAGGGAUAAACGCUGAAGGCAUCUAAGUGUGAAACCCACUUCAAGAUGAGAUUUCCCAUUGCGCAAGCAAGUAAGACCCCUUAAAGACGAUNAGGUAGAUAGGUCAGGAGUGUAAG